AAGAAAGAACACUGGAACUGCUAAUUCCACAUUUCCAUAAUUAACAUUAUGGCUUUCUU
rnacentral:tRNA from 1 species